AGGGGUGUAGUUCAAUGGUAGAACUGCGGUCUUCAAAACCGCCUGUUAUGGGUUCGAGUCCUGUCACCCCUGCCA
rnacentral:tRNA from 2 species